rfam:Fukomys damarensis contig89871, whole genome shotgun sequence.
ACAAAGGCUCUUUUCAGAGCCAUUUCAGGCUGUCAGUGUGAGGGGUU